rfam:Loxodonta africana unplaced genomic scaffold scaffold_209, whole genome shotgun sequence.
GCCAUGAUCGUACAGUGGUGAGUACUCUGCGUUGUGGCCUCAGCAACCUCGGUUCGAAUCUGAGUUACGGCA